GAUUAACUCUGGCGGCGUGCAUAACACAUGCAAGUCGAACGAUGAAACUUAAAAGAUUUCUUCGGAAUGACCUUAAGUGGAUUAGUGGCGAACGGGUGAGUAACGCGCGAGUAACCUGCCUUACACAAGGGGAUAGCCUCUGGAAACGGAGAAUAAUACCCUAUGAAACUAUCUUAUCGCAUGAAAAGAUAGUCAAAGUGUUUUAGCGGUGUAAGAUGGACUUGCGUCUGAUUAGCUAGUUGGUGAGAUAACAGCCCACCAAGGCAACGAUCAGUAGCCGGCUUGAGAGAGUGUACGGCCACAUUGGGACUGAGACACGGCCCAGACUCCUACGGGAGGCAGCAGUGGGGAAUUUUGCACAAUGGGGGCAACCCUGAUGCAGCGACGCCGCGUGAUUUAGAAGGCCUUCGGGUUGUAAAAAUCUUUUGUAUAGGAAGAAAAUGACAGUACUAUACGAAUAAGGUCCGGCUAAUUACGUGCCAGCAGCCGCGGUAAUACGUAAGGACCGAGCGUUGUCCGGAAUCAUUGGGCGUAAAGGGUACGUAGGCGGUUAGAAAAGUUAGAAGUGAAAGGCUAUAGCUCAACUAUAGUAAGCUUUUAAAACUGUUUAACUUGAGAGAUGGAAGGGAAAGUGGAAUUCCUAGUGUAGCGGUGAAAUGCGCAGAUAUUAGGAGGAAUACCGGUGGCGAAGGCGACUUUCUGGCCAUUAUCUGACGCUGAGGUACGAAAGCGUGGGUAGCAAACAGGAUUAGAUACCCUGGUAGUCCACGCCGUAAACGAUGAGUGUUAGGUGUCUGGUUUAAACUGGGUGCCGCAGCUAACGCAAUAAACACUCCGCCUGGGGAGUACGCACGCAAGUGUGAAACUCAAAGGAAUUGACGGGGACCCGCACAAGCAGCGGAGCAUGUGGUUUAAUUCGAAGCAACGCGAAGAACCUUACCAAGUCUUGACGUAUUACGGCGUGUUUUAGAGAUAAGACACUAUAUCUUCGGAUAACUGUAAUACAGGUGGUGCAUGGUUGUCGUCAGCUCGUGUCGUGAGAUGUUGGGUUAAGUCCCGCAACGAGCGCAACCCUUGUCUUAUGUUGCCAGCAUUUGGUUGGGGACUCAUGAGAGACUGCCGGGGUCAACUCGGAGGAAGGUGGGGACGACGUCAAAUCAUCAUGCCCCUUAUGUCCAGGGCUUCACACAUGCUACAAUGGUCGGUACAACGCGCAGCGACACUGUGAGGUGGAGCGAAUCGCUGAAAGCCGGCCUUAGUUCGGAUUGGGGUCUGCAACUCGACCCCAUGAAGUCGGAGUCGCUAGUAAUCGCAGAUCAGCAACGCUGCGGUGAAUACGUUCCCGGGCCU
rnacentral:rRNA from 1 species